UCACUCUUUCCUACCUUGCUUGUGGGUAAAUCUCUUCUGCGGAAUCUCAGAAAGUAAAGUUCCAUCCUAAGAAUAUUUCACAAAGAAUUUCCUUAAGAGCUGGACUGGGAUCCUACGAUGAUACACCAACCACUUGUGCUACCACCUGUCAAAACUUUGGAUGGCCCUACUUUCAGGCGGAGUCUUGCUCUGUCGCCCCGGCUGGAGUGCAGCGGCGCGAUCUCGGCUCACUGCAAGCUCUGCCUCCCGGGGUCACGCCAUUCUCCUGCCUCAGCCUCCCGAGUAGCUGGGACUACAGGUGCCCACCACCACACCAAGCUAAUUUUUUGUAUUUUUAGUAGAGAUGGGGUUUCACCAUGUUAGCCAGGAUGAUCUUGAUCUCCUGACCUCGUGAUCUGCCCACCUCAGCCUCCCAAAGUGCUGGGAUUACAGGUGUGAGCCACCGCACCUGGCUGCUUAUAGUAUUUUGAAGUGUGCUUAAUAAAUCAAUUUUAUGAAUGAUCAUCUUAUUAUCUCUUUAAAAUUUUAUAUCACACUGUCCUAUUGCUUAGAGUUCAAAUUAGGUAUACUCCCAUGUGUAUGAGAGACACAAUUAAUGACUUGUAGGUCAUAAUUAAAGAUUCAAAAGAUUCAUUUUUGUUAAUAGAAUGUUUACAAAUACUUAUUCUUAUUUUGCUAUAUAAUGAGCAGUGUCUCCAAUUAAAGUAAUUAAAAUUCAACCAAAUGAG
rnacentral:sRNA from 1 species